rnacentral:rRNA from 1 species
CAGUAGCCGCGGUAAUACGUAGGGUGCAAGCGUUAAUCGGAAUUACUGGGCGUAAAGCGUGCGCAGGCGGUGUUGUAAGACUGAUGUGAAAUCCCCGGGCUCAACCUGGGAAUGGCAGUGGAUACUGGCUCGCUAGAGUGUGUCAGAGGAUGGUGGAAUUCCCGGUGUAGCGGUGAAAUGCGUAGAGAUCGGGAGGAACAUCAGUGGCGAAGGCGGCCAUCUGGGACAACACUGACGCUGAGGCACGAAAGCGUGGGGAGCAAACAGGAUUAGAUACCCGAGUAGUCCCUGUCUCUUAUAA